rnacentral:rRNA from 1 species
UUACCAGACUCCUACGGGAGGCAGCAGUGGGGAAUAUUGCACAAUGGGGGGAACCCUGAUGCAGCGACGCCGCGUGAGUGAAGAAGUCUUUCGGCAUGUAAAGCUCUAUCAGCAGGGAAGAAAAUGACGGUACCUGACUAAGAAGCCCCGGCUAACUACGUGCCAGCAGCCGCGGUAAUACGUAGGGGGCAAGCGUUAUCCGGAUUUACUGGGUGUAAAGGGAGCGCAGACGGCUGUGCAAGUCUGGAGUGAAAGGCGGGGGCCCAACCCCCGGACUGCUCUGGAAACUGUAAAGCUGGAGUGCAGGAGAGGUAAGCGGAAUUCCUAGUGUAGCGGUGAAAUGCGUAGAUAUUAGGAGGAACACCAGUGGCGAAGGCGGCUUACUGGACUGCAACUGACGUUGAGGCUCGAAAGCGUGGGGAGCAAACAGGAUUAGAUACCCGAGUA